AGCAGCCGCGGUAAUUCCAGCUCCAAUAGCGUAUAUUAAAGUUGCUGCAGUUAAAAAGCUCGUAGUUGAAUUUCGGGAUCAGUAUGUUGGUCGUGCUUCGGUACGUACUGUCAUUACUGGUUUCUACCUUCUGAAGAACCAUGAUGUCAUUAAUUUGGUGUCGUGGGGAAUCAGGACUGUUACUUUGAAAAAUUAGAGUGUUUAAAGCAGGCUCGCGCUUGAAUACAUUAGCAUGGAAUAAUGAAAUAGGACGUUUUGAUUUCUAUUUUGUUGGUUUCUAGGAUCGACGUAAUGAUUAAUAGGGAUAGUUGGGGGCAUUAGUAUUCAAUUGUCAGAGGUGAAAUUCUUGGAUUUAUUGAAGACUAACUACUGCGAAAGCAUUUGCCAAGGAUGUUUUCAU
rnacentral:sRNA from 1 species